AAGCGGUGGAGCAUGUGGUUUAAUUCGAAGCAACGCGAAGAACCUUACCAGGUCUUGACAUCCCUUGAAACCUCCAGAAAUGAAACGUUCCCUUCGGGGACAAAGGUGACAGGUGGUGCAUGGUUGUCGUCAGCUCGUGUCGUGAGAUGUUGGGUUAAGUCCCGCAACGAGCGCAACCCUUAUGACUAGUUGCCAGCAUUCAGUUGGGCACUCUAGUAAGACUGCCGGUGACAAACCGGAGGUGGGGACGACGUCAAAUCAUGCCCCUUAUGACCUGGGCUACACACGUGCUACAAUGGAUGGUACAACGAGUUGCGAACCCGCGAGGGCAAGCUAAUCUCUUAAAGCCA
rnacentral:rRNA from 2 species